rnacentral:misc_RNA from 1 species
UUAAGUUCAGCGGGUAUCCCUACCUGAUCCGAGGUCAAACUUAGAAAGUUGGGGGUUGCUGGCCAGUAACCGCCCGGUCCCUAUAGCGAGGAUAUUUACUACGCUCAGGGCCACGACGGCACCGCCACUGAUUUUAAGGCCCGCCGGGUGAACGGCGAGAGCCCAAUACCAAGCCAGGCUUGAGGGUUGUAAUGACGCUC